rnacentral:lncRNA from 1 species
UGCUAUGCAGACUGCUGGGAAAGAAAAGCCAUCAACUGUCUUAGCUGGCUAUGAAUUCUGGGAGCUAUAAUAUUGAACUAUCGAGCAAGAUGUACAUUCCUAUUAGUGUUGCUUUCUACGAGUCAAGUUUCCAUCUUCAGUUGGCAGUGGUAAUACAGCGACUCAUAACUGGUCACAGUGCAAAGAAUAAGUGUGAUAAGUACUUAGCCCUAAAGUGAACAUCAACAUACUUCCUCCAAGGUGCAAAGAAAACCACAGAAGGAGGACAGAAGAAGUAUCAAAGCCAAAGGAAGGGAAUGGAUGCUAUAAGACACUAUCUUCUGUACAUGACUCAGCUGACUCCUCUGGUGAACCCAUGCCCUCUAGGCAACUUUGGUUAUCCACACAAGAGCAGACCCAUGGAGAUUCCAUUACAGAUGGAGAAGAGCUCAUAAGGCCCCACCACUCCCUCAUGAUUCAUAGUCUAUGUUGCUAGAGAUGGGGAGCCUUCAGUGGCAUGGCCUCUGGUAGGUUUUCCUUGUGCAAGUAAACAACCCCAUAUCUAUGCAUACUCAUUUAACCAUCCAGAGUUAAAUGUCACAAAAGACAUAAAAGUAGAAGGGGAACAUCUGGAACCAAACAUGUGAACUGGGUACCAUUUGCAUGACAGCACAGCAUGUAAAGAUAAAAAUAAUAAUAAUACAAGAUGAAGUGCAUAUGUAGCCC